rnacentral:rRNA from 1 species
AGAGUUUGAUCCUGGCUCAGGACGAACGCUGGCGGCGUGCUUAACACAUGCAAGUCGAACGCUGAUCCGGCUUUGGUCGGUGAGGAGUGGCGAACGGGUGAGUAACACGUGGGCAACCUGCCCUGCACUUUGGGACAAGCCCUGGAAACGGGGUCUAAUACCGGAUAGGACCUGCUGAGGCAUCUUGGUGGGUGGAAAGC